AUGACAUCAAUGGAUAUGAGUAUACCGUUUCAUGUCUUGGAGCAAACUACAGAGAAAUUCUCCGACAAGCAGAUGAUUGGAAGUGGAGGCUACGGAAAAGUUUACAAGGGAGUUUACAAUGGAGAACACAUUGCUGUCAAAUUGUUUUAUGGUGUGCAAGCACUUGACAAGACAUUUGAGAAUGAAUGCUUUAACAUUCUGAGGAUCCAACAUCCAAAUAUUAUACGGUUAGUUGGCUACUGUUAUGAAACACAACGUAAACAUGUUAUGUACAAUGGUGAACUGCGGUUUUCUGAUCACAUAUAUAGAAUUCUCUGCUUUGAGUUAAUGCAGGGAGGAAGCCUAGACAAGUACCUCAAUGAAUCUCGUGACUAUGACUGGCCAACAUGUUACGAUAUAAUAAAGGGGACCUGUGAAGGUUUAAAUUUCCUUCACACGGGAUGUGGAUCACAAAUUCUUCACCUGGAUCUAAAACCAGGAAACAUAUUACUAGAUAAGGACAUGCGAGCAAAAGUUGCAGAUUUCGGGUUGUCAAGGUUCUUGAGUAAACAACAUACCCACAUCACAAAUACAAUUGCAGGAACAGACGGUUAUAUGCCACCAGAGUUCUGGUCCAAAAGACAGAUUUCACCGAAGAAUGAUGUUUAUAGUUUAGGAAUUAUAAUCAUAGAAAUUUUGGUUGGACGUAGAGGCUACUUGGAAUUUCAUGAAAUGGAUGAUGUCACACCAUUUAAUAAGCUGGUAAUUGAGAAAUGGCAGAAAUGGAUAUGUGCAAUGACAUCACCAUGCCCAUCAGCAGAAAUAGAUCAAGUGGAGACUUGCAUCAAAAUAGCAAUAAAAUGUGUGGAUCGUGAACGAGAGAAUAGACCCACUGUAGCAGAAAUUUUGAAUACCCUGCGGGAGACAGAAAAAAGGUUUCAUCUCUUGGGCCAGAGCUUGCCCACUCCCACUAAGAUUGGACCAAGGGGUGGAAUGGGAGGUUCUAUUUGUGAUAUCGAAGAAAAUCCUUGGCGCCUGACAAGUCUCACGAUUUUCUGUAGAGGGAUAAUUGAUUCGAUCUCAUUUUCUUACAUCGACCAAUAUGGGAGGAAGCAACAUGUAGGUCCCUGGGGCGUAGACUACAUUAGCCAGAAUACUGAAACGAUCUGCUUUGGCUCUUCGGAGUUUGUCGAGGAAGUAUCUGGAGCAUACGGGAAUUAUAGGGGAAUCCUUCGUGUGAUAUCCCUUACGUUUGUCACCAAUGUCAGAACCUACGGACCUUUCGGAAAUCCUUAUCAUGAACAUAUGGCAGGACUAACUCAUUUCAGGUUCAUGGCUGAUGAGGGCAGCCGCAUCGUUGGUUUCCAUGGUAGAUCCGGCAGCUAUAUCGACGCCAUUGGUGUUUACAUGUAUCCCAACGAUAGGACGACAGUCGGGCUUAUUUCUGUGCCGCUGAUUCUCGAUGGCCAGGGCUUGCCCACCCCCACUAAGAGUGGAUCCUGGGGUGGAAGCGGAGGUAGUGCUCGAGACAUUAAUCAAAAGUCCUGGCGUCUGACAAGUCUCACGGUUAGCUACAAAGGGUUAAUCGAUGCAUUCUCCUUUUCUUACAUCGACCAAGCUGGGAAGAAGCAAAGUGUUGGUCCUUGGGGCGAAGGAUACUACAAUGACACGACUAAGACGAUCAGCUUUGGCCCAGCGGAGUUUGUCAAGGAAGUAUGUGGAGCAUACGGGAAUCACAAUGGAAUCGUUAUCGUGAAGUUCCUUACGUUUGUCACCAACGAAGGAACGUACGGACCUUUCGGAACUCCUGAUCAUCCAGGUCCAGACGUGUCGGCAACUCAUUUCAGGUUCGUGGCUGACGAGGGCAGCACCAUCGUGGGGUUCUAUGGUAGAUCUGGCAGAUAUAUUGAUGCCAUCGGUGUUUACACAGUGCGAGUUAGAUAA
rnacentral:rRNA from 1 species